AAAAUGGAUCUUGACAAAAC
rnacentral:miRNA from 1 species